AAACUAUUAAAUAGAGGGAUGGUAACUGAAAUUAAGGGAAGUAUAAAAUACCACCAAAUUAUAGAAUUUUAUGCCAUUUGGCAGCCAUUAAUUCCUUCUGACUUUAUGACUGGAGUUUCUACAAAGUAUAUCUGACACAGGCUAUGUCACAAAACAUGACACAGUCAUACAGUCAGACACUGUGAUUUGACACACAAAUGCCCUUACAAGCUUUGCGAGUUAGAUUGCAUACUUAACAUUAAGACAACUUCAUUUCACUGUGCUAGUGAGCAAGAUGAAAAAUAAAAUAUAACAUUAGGGAUAAAGCCAGAAAUCAGUGAAAGACAAGGGACUUAAAAACAAAACUAUGUGCAUGAAAAUACCAGUUGGCAGCUGGCCAUAAAGUUUCAAAGCAAGGAUGGCUGAAAAAGGAGCUCUAUUUCCUCACAGUGACAUUAUACAAAUUGUUUCUAAGUCAAGGUUUACUGUGGGUCCUGGAAAGUUUUCUUUCCUAGUCUGUUCAUUGACACUUUUUUUUUUAUUAAAUAUUUUCUUCAUUUACAUUUCAAAUGCUAUCCAAAAAGUCCCCUAUACCCUCCCAUGCCCUGCUCCCCAACCCACCUACUGCUGCUCCCUGGCCCUGGCAUUCACCUUUAGUGGGACAUAUAAUCUUCGCAAAACCAAGGGCCUCUCCUCCCAUUGAGGGCCUACUAGACAUUCCUCUGCUACAUAUAAAACGAGAAACACGAACUCUGUGGGGUACUGGUUACUACAUAUUGUUGUUCCUCCUAUAAGGUUGUAGACCCCUUUAUCUCCUUGGGUACUUUCUCUUGCUUGUUCAUUGGGAGCCCUAUGUUCCAUCCAAUAGAUUCUGUGUUUGCCAGGCACUGGCAUAGCCUCACAAGAGACAGUGAUAUCAGGGUCCUGUCAGCAAAAUCUUACUGGCAUAUGCAAUACUGUCUGGGUGUGGUGGUUGUUUAUGGUCUGGAUUCCCUGGGUGGAUGAGUCUCAAGAUGGUCCUUCCUUCUGUCUCAGCUCCGAACUUUGCCUCUGUAACUACUUCCAUGGGUAUUUUAGUCCCCAUUCUAAGAAGGAGCAAAGUAUCCACACUUUGGUCUUUUCUUCUUCCUGAGUUUCAUGUGUUUUGCAAAUUGUAUCUUGGGUAUUCUAAGUUUCUGGGCUAAUAUCCACUUAUCAGUGAGUGCAUAUCAAGUGAGUUCUUUUGUUAUUGGGUUACCUCACUCAGGAUGAUAUCCUCCAGAUCCAUGCAUUUGCCUAAGGAUUUCAUAAAUUCAUUGUUUUUAAUAGCUAGUAGUACUCCAUUGUGUAAAUGUACCACAUUUUCUGUAUCCAUUUCUUUGUUGAGGAACAUCUGGUUCUUUCCAGCUUCUGGCUAUUAUAAAUAAGGCUGCUAUGAACAUAGUGGAGCAUGUGUCCUUAGUAGCAGUUGGAACAUCUUCUGGGUAUAUGCCCAGGAGAGGUAUUGCUGGAUCUUCCAGUAGUACUACGUCUAAUUUUCUGAGGAACCGCCAGACUGAUUUCCAGAGUGGUUGUACCAGCUUGCAAUCCCACCAACAAUGAAGGAGUGUCCCUCUUUCUCCACAUCCUUGCCAGCAUUUGCUGUCACCUUAAUAUUUGUUCUGAGCCAUUCUGACUGGUGUGAGGUAGAAUCUCAGCAUUAUUUUUGAUUUGCAUUUCCCUGAUGAUUAAGGAUGUUGAACAUUUUUUUUCAGAUGCUUCCCAGCCAUUCAGUAUUCUUCAGUUGAGAAUUCUCUGUUUAGCUAUGUAACCCAUUUUUAAUAUUGAAAUUAUCCCAUAUAUCCUAUCAGAUCACCACAGACUAAGGCUGAUCUUCAAUAACAACAUAAAUGAUAGAAAGCCAACAUUCACGUGGAAGCUGAACAACACUCAACUCAAUGAUACCUUGAUCAAGGAAGAAAUAAAGAAAGAAAUUAAAGACUUUAGAGUUUAAUGAAAAUGAAGCCAGAAUAUACCCAAACUUAUGGGACAAAAUGAAAGCAGUCCUAAGAGGAAAACUCAUAGCUCUGAGUGCUACCAAAAAGAAAGUAGAGAGAGAACAUACACUAGCAGCUUGACAGCACACCUAAAACUUCUAGAACAAAAGGAAGCAAAUUCAGAAAAGAGGAGUAGACAACAGGAAAUAAUCAAACUCAGGGCUGAAAUCAACCAAGUGG
rnacentral:lncRNA from 1 species